GUUUGUCGCGUUGUUCGUGAAAUCUCACGGCUUAACUGUGAGCGUGCGGGCGAUACGGGCAGACUUGAGUACUGCAGGGGAGACUGGAAUUCCUGGUGUAGCGGUGGAAUGCGCAGAUAUCAGGAGGAACACCGGUGGCGAAGGCGGGUCUCUGGGCAGUAACUGACGCUGAGGAGCGAAAGCGUGGGGAGCGAACAGGAUUAGAUACCCUGGUAGUCCACGCCGUAAACGGUGGUUACUAGGUGUGGUUUCCUUCCUUGGGAUCCGUGCCGUAGCUAACGCAUUAAGUACCCCGCCUGGGGAGUACGGCCGCAAGGCUAAAACUCAAAGAAAUUGACGGGGGCCCGCACAAGCGGCGGAGCAUGUGGAUUAAUUCGAUGCAACGCGAAGAACCUUACCUGGGUUUGACAUGCACAGGACGCCGGCAGAGAUGUCGGUUCCCUUGUGGCCUGUGUGCAGGUGGUGCAUGGCUGUCGUCAGCUCGUGUCGUGAGAUGUUGGGUUAAGUCCCGCAACGAGCGCAACCCUUGUCUCAUGUUGCCAGCGGGUAAUGCCGGGGACUCGUGAGAGACUGCCGGGGUCAACUCGGAGGAAGGUGGGGAUGACGUCAGGUCAUCAUGCCCCUUAUGUCCAGGGCUUCACACAUGCUACAAUG
rnacentral:rRNA from 1 species